UCCCGCGGCGGGACUCUUACCCUCAGUUCCUGGGUCCCUCAGGCAGGUACCUCAGUGGGCACACUCCCAGGCGGCGCUCCUGCCCCGCGCUCCCUCCCUCUGCUUUUCAUUCCCAGCUGCCAAGAUCUUGGAAGCUUUGAAGCUCAGAAACGAAGUGGAAUCCAUUGAGAGCAGUCUGUAAAGGUUUCGUGGGACAACCUGCCUGCAGAGACCCUCUGGAGAAGCUCUGCGCAUACUGCCGUUGAGGACUCUGAGGAGCUUGCAGUAGUCUGAAAG